rnacentral:rRNA from 1 species
UACGGAGGAUCCGAGCGUUAUCCGGAAUUAUUGGGUUUAAAGGGUGUGUAGGCGGCCAUUUAAGUCAGCGGUGAAAUUUUGCAGCUUAACUGUAACAGUGCCGUUGAUACUGUUUGGCUAGGAUUUGGUUGUAGUGUGCGGAAUGUGUGGUGUAGCGGUGAAAUGCUUAGAUAUCACACAGAACACCGAUUGCGAAGGCAGCACACUAAGUCAUUAUUGACGCUGAGGCACGAAAGUGUGGGGAGUCAAACAGGAUUAGA